GGUGACAUAGUGUAGCGAUGAGCACGUCUGUUUUACAUGCAGAAGGUCCUGGGUUCGCGCCCCAGGGGAGCCA
rfam:Pteropus alecto contig26214, whole genome shotgun sequence.